rnacentral:rRNA from 1 species
GGGCUCGCGGCCUAUCAGCUUGUUGGUGAGGUAAUGGCUCACCAAGGCGUCGACGGGUAGCCGGCCUGAGAGGGUGACCGGCCACACUGGGACUGAGACACGGCCCAGACUCCUACGGGAGGCAGCAGUGGGGAAUAUUGCACAAUGGGCGCAAGCCUGAUGCAGCAACGCCGCGUGAGGGAUGACGGCCUUCGGGUUGUAAACCUCUUUUAGCAAGGAAGAAGCGAAAGUGACGGUACUUGCAGAAAAAGCGCCGGCUAACUACGUGCCAGCAGCCGCGGUAAUACGUAGGGCGCAAGCGUUAUCCGGAAUUAUUGGGCGUAAAGAGCUCGUAGGCGGUUUGUCGCGUCUGCUGUGAAAACUGGAGGCUCAACCUCCAGCCUGCAGUGGGUACGGGCAGACUAGAGUGCGGUAGGGGAGAUUGGAAUUCCUGGUGUAGCGGUGGAAUGCGCAGAUAUCAGGAGGAACACCGAUGGCGAAGGCAGAUCUCUGGGCCGUAACUGACGCUGAGGAGCGAAAGGGUGGGGAGCAAACAGGCUUAGAUACCCUGGUAGUCCACCCCGUAAACGUUGGGAACUAGUUGUGGGGGCCAUUC